GGCUCAAUGAAGAACGAAGUCUUCCCUUCUUCUCAAAUGAACUCGCGACGGCGCCGGGGUUAAGCUUCUCUCCGAUCAAAAAUUCUUCCGCCAUCGGGAACUAAAGAAGUGAGAUAGCACGAUCGUUUCCUCGCCUCUCUCGCUUUUCAUCUUCGGUUCUCCUUUUGUUUCAAUCCGGUCUCUCUCUCAAUUUUAGACAACGGCGCAAUGGCCACAUCUUCUUCUCCGACGGCGCUUUGUGACUUCGAGCAUGAUCCGAAGGUCGAACAGAGCUGAUGAUGGAGUGUUGAAUAUUGGUGAUAUGUUGUUCGCAACAGAGAAGUGUUGCGACGAAGGUUAAGUUGCGCGUACGCUUGAUGAUUGAAGAUUCGAUGAAUUGAAUGUUGUUGAUAGAAUUCGGUUGCUGUGCUGCGAUGAAGAUGGAAAUUGAUGAUUCUGAGAGAAGGCGCAGAGAUUGAAGGUUGAUGAUGGAAGAUGAGUGUUGAAGAAUCUGAGAUGAGAUUGGCGAUGAUGAAGAUUAAAGAGGAAGCUUGAAGAGGAUGAAGAAUGAAGGUUAAUGAAGAUUCAGAAUAAUGGAGAGAUUGGAGAAAUCGAUUCUGAACAAAGGUGAACAAUGGUGACGAUGAUGAAAUGUUCAGAAGUGGUGAAGAGAGAUUGAAAGUGGAUUGUGGAGUGAGGAUUGAAGCAUAGAGCAGUGUCCCUGUUAUAUAGAGAUGAAAGGGCAUUUAUCUUGAAUGAAUUUUGAGCAUUAGAAGCUAUAAGGCUUGAAGCUUGAAGUCUGAAGAUGUGUGAUGCAUAAGAGGAUGACUCAUGGUAUGGACCCGUUUCGAACUGAUAUUGCAAUCUCUGAUUUUCUGUCAUGUUUCGAUGAAGAGUGGAACGGCUUUGUGAUCGUAGAUUCUGGCUGGAGAGCAAAAGGAGAGCUCGCAAACGAAUGGAACCUAAUGUUCGGAGGAUGGUGAACUUACAGAUCGGGGCAAAAAGUCUUGAAGAAUAGGUUUUAGUGUUUGUGUAGUAUUGUAUGGCUCGGUUUAGCCUUAGUGAUGACAUGUACGCAGGGCUGCCAUUGGCUUGUAAAUGUAUGUGUUUUGCUGUACUGUGAUGUGUUUGUGACUGUGUGAACAUUUGGUCUCUUGUAAAGAAUCAUGGUUUAGAAUGAAAGUGGUGAUGUCUAGAGAUUAGGAACAGAAAGCCAAAAUAUUUUUGUGUAAUAAUUUUUGUAAUGGA